UACGAAGGGGGCUAGCGUUGCUCGGAAUGACUGGGCGUAAAGGGCGCGUAGGCGGUUGUUACAGUCAGGUGUGAAAUUCCCGGGACUCCGAACCUGGGGGCUGGCACUUGAUACGUAUGGACUGGAGUGGGGAAGAGGGUCGGUGGAAUUCCCGAGUGUAGAGGUGAAAUUCGUAGAUAUUGGGAAGAACACCGGGUGGCGAAGGCGGCGACCUGGUCCUUGACUGACGCUGAGGCGCGAAAGCGUGGGGAGCAAACAGG
rnacentral:rRNA from 1 species